rnacentral:lncRNA from 1 species
UUUUCUCUCUUAUUUUGCAAGGUUUACAUGAAGAGGGAAAAUGCCGGCAGCUGGAAUUCUGGCCUGAAAAAGGAGCAAGUUUGAGAUACCUAUUCUACGCAACUCCAAAAACCGUGAAAAUCAACGAGGAUUUAUUUUGGAAUUUAUAAAAAAUACUGGGCUGAAGAAGUACCAGAGGGGAGCCAGGAGGAGGCCACAAGCCUGCUAGGCGCGGCCUACCCCCGUGGCCACGCCUAGGGGGCUCGUGGGCUACCUGCUGGCCCUUUGGCCCCCCUCUUUUUCUAUAAGGAGGGUUUCAUUCCAGAAAAAAUCAGGAGGAGGCUUUUGGGAGGAAUCACCGCCGCCACGAGGCGUAACUUGAGAACAACCAAUCUAGAGCUCCGGCAGGGUUAACUUGCUGGGGAAACUUCCCUCCCGGAGGGGAAAAUCGUCGCCAUCGUCAUCACCAACACUCCUCUGAUCGGAGGGGACUCAUCACCAUCAACAUCUUCAUCAGCACCAUCUCAUCUCCAAACCCUAGUUCAUCUCUUGUAACCAAUCUCCGUCUCGCGACUCCGAUUGGUACUUGUAAGGUUGCUAGUAGUGUUAAUUACUCCUUGAAGUUCAUGCUAGUUGGAUUACUUGGUGAAAGAUUAUAUGUUCAGAUCCAUGAUGCUAUUCAAAACCUCUCUCGUCAUGAAUAUUAUUAUGCUUUGUGAGUAGUCACUUUUGUUCCUGAGGACAUGGGAUAAGUCAUGCUAUAAGUAGUUAUGUGAAUUUGGUAUUUGUUCGAUAUUUUGAUGUGUUGUAUGUUGUUUUUCCUCUAGUGGUGUUAUGUGAACGUCGACUACAUAACACUUCACCAUUAUUUGGGCCUAGAGGAAGGCUUUGGGAAGUAGUAAGUAUAUGAUGGAUUGCUAGAGUGACAAAAGCUUAAACCCUAGUUUAUGUGUUGCUUCGUAAGGGGCUGAUUUGGAUCCACUAGUUUAAUGCUAUGGUUAGACUUUGUCUUAAUUCUUCUUUCGUAGUUGCGGAUGCUUGCGAAAGGGGUUAAUCAUAAGUGGGAUGCUUGUCCAAGUAAGGGCAGUACUCAAGCACCGGUCCACCCACAUAUCAAACUAUGAAAGUAGCGAACGCGAAUCAUAUGAACAUGAUGAAAACUAGCUUGACAGAAAUUCCCAUGUGUCCUCGGGAGCGCUUUAACUCCUAUAAGAGUUUGUCCAGGGUUGUCCCUUGCUACGAAAGGGAUUGGGCCACUUUUCUGCACCGUUGUUACUUUUUUUUACUUGCUACUUGCUAUGAAUCAUCUUUUUACACAACUACUUGUUUCCGAUAAUUUCAGUGCUUGCAGAGAUUACCUUGCUGAAAACCACUUGUGAGAUCCUUCUGCUCUUUGUUGGGUUUGACACUCUUACUUAUCGAAAGGACUACGAUAGAUCCCUUAUACUUGUGGGUCAUCAAUUGUAUACUUAGUCUGAUGCAGUAAUGACAUGUGGGGUCCCACGGGACCCGUUGACGAGUCAACGGUUGAGUCAGCAGUUUACUAGGCCCACUAGUGAGCCUCGGUGGCUAGAUCAAGUCCGGUGUAAAAAGUUGUGUGUGUGUUCGAAAUUCGAAUUAAUAAAUAAAGAAAAGAAAGGAAAUAAAUGUUAGAAAUAUCUAUAUAUAUAUGUUUAAAAUAAAAUAUUAAUAAUAAUAAGUAAAUAAGUAAUUAUUUAAAUGUAAUGUUUAAUUAGAUAAUUAAUUAACUAUUGGAGUAAUUAAUUAGAUAAUAUAAUGUUUAAAAGAUUACAUAUAUUAAUUAAGUAAAUUAUUAGAUAAUUUGUUAACUCAAAUAAAUUAAAAAGUAUGACACGUGGGUUCCGUCCCAUUAUUUAAUCGGAUUAACAUUUAAUUAACCCAAAUAAUAAAUGUGCCUAUGACAACGGGGGCCCACUCGCCAUAUUUGACCAGUCAAACCCUGUUGACUGUUGAUGUCAUGCUGACAUCACCACCGAUGUCACAUUUAAUUAUCUAAUAUAAUUUAAUCUGUUAAUUCCUAAAUAAUUAAUAAAACUUUAAAAAUUAAUAUAAAAUAAUUCGUAGCUCCGAUGAAAAUAUUUUGAACAUGAAAGUUGAUGAGUAGAAUGAGACGAAAUCGGAUAUACUAUUUGCUCGUGUGUCACGCGUCCCUAGCAUAACAAACGUGAAAACUUUUCCACCAUUUUCGUCUGACCCGUAGUAGCGAGAGACCCCGGAUAUAUCGUGAGAUAUUUUCCCGCUUCGUGUGUAAUGUUUAGUACUGUGUUAGGUCACCCUUAUCACGGUGUAUUACCUUGUCAUGCUUUGUGGUGUGUUUGCUUGCUCUCUUAUUUAUUGUGUUUCCCCUUCGUUAUUUCCUUUCCGGUAGACCCCGAGACCAAUGAUCCGGUGAUCGACUACUUCCCGGUCGAGGAUCCGUUUUGUCGGCAGAACAACCAGGCAAGCAAAACCCCCUUGAUCAUUCCUAUAUCGCCCAUUUCUUUCUCCCUCAUGCUUGCAUUAGAAUUUUGCUAUUGUUGUAGUUAGCUCCUAUAUAUGUUGCAUAGCCUAAUUUUGAUGAAUUCCUACUUUCAGUACUGCACCUUUAAGCUGUUAGCAUAGGUGGAGCAGUCAUCCCCUCUGACCCCUUAGUCCAGUUGCCACGCUUUAUUGUCAAGUCUUGAUCCCUGAUCGACGAGCCAAGAUCUGACACAGCACUCACAACCCACUUAGUUGAACGACGCUACAGAGAUACUAUCGGGUACCGAGGGUGACAACUCGCGAAGUAUUCAUGAUGAUAUCUCUGUAGGGCAGCUAGUCGGUCCUGGUUAUCGAGGGUGAUUCCUCCUUCACCACUCCCGACGAUGACUCUGUCGUGCAACCCCUCAAGGGUGUGACCCUCGAGGGUGAUUCCUCUAAGUCCACCUUGAUGGUUACAUCGUUCGGUAUCCAACGAGGGUGAUACCUCGGAUCCCCCCAAUGUUACAACCACACAGUUACCUGACCAUGUUACUGGGAUCUUUGAUGAAUAAUGUUAGGCGGGUGGAUUCCCGCGUGGAUGUGUCGAUGAGUUAAUUAAAAUGUUAAUGGAUUUGGGUAUAUGAUCUGGGUUGGUCGGAGACCUUUUCGCAUUAACCGGCUACGCGGGAGAAGUUAUGGGUACUCGACGUCGUGGUAUCAGCCGAAGCUUUUCGGACAUCACCAAUGGAGCGGCGUGCGCCCGAGUGGUCCCGAGAUGCAUCGCGCUUGUAUUAAGGGGUUCUAGGACUGAGAUCUGUCGCCCAGGCAUCGUGCGGGAGCGCAGAGGGCAAGUGGGCCCAUGAACCCUUUGUGCUUAGGAUUUAGAUCGGCGGGCUGGCCUCUCUGUUGAGUCUAGGUGGGGUUGCGACGUGUCGAUAUUCCUAGGCUAGGCAUGACCCAGAAAAGUGUGUCCGGCAAGAGUAUUAUCGAGCGUGACGGGAAACUUGGUGGAACCUGCAGGGAUGAAAAUUAACUAUUCGGAUAGUCGUGUCCACAGUUACAGGAUGACUUGGAGUUGUGCCCUCAUCUUAUACAACUACAAUUGUUACUUAACUGGAAUAGUUUCUCGGGGAUUGCUUCCUCGCAGGGAGUCGAGGGAGAAUCUCAGGGCGUGGCCUCAUAUUAAUAUUGCUGCAACAAUAUGACUUUUAAUUGUGUUACCUGUUCUACUCUUGUCUAUUGCUGCAAGACCCUUGAAGAUGCUAGUCUUCGAUAGGACUAUUCCUUCUCUCUCUUUCUCGCAUUUCUGUAGUCAGUCCACAUAUAAACCCCUUCCUUUGAUAUUGUUGCAUACUUAGCAUAGUUCUGAUGUCAGUCUUGCGAGUACUUUGGAUGAGUACUCAUCGUUGCUUUGCUCCCCUUUUUUCCCAUGAACCGUUGUUGCGACCAGAUGAUGGAGCCCAGGAGAUGGAGUGUUGGGGCAUAGUUUAUGCCUAAGUAAUUUUGGUGAUUGAUGACAGUACCGUACAGGACUAACCGUGUGUGUUAAGGUUUCAGAUAACACACGUCAACGGCACAAGACGACACGUCUCCUCAUUCAUGGAACGGAAGCAGGGCGCUCUCUACGAUUCUCUUUAUUUGAGUCAUAGGAAAGCCGUACUAUUAAGAGGGGAUCCGUAGUGGAAAGGUUUGGGUGGAAUCUAUCUUGGCACGCGCACACUUCACAUUCUCCCUUUCCUUCAUCUUUGGAGCGGCCCCCGCCACUUUGUUUCUCGCAUCUUUGCAAAAUGGUCCCAGCGGUAGUACCGCUGGUUCUAGCGUAGUACCGGUGGACUGCUAGUGGUAGUACCGCUGCAGCCAGCGGUAGUACCGCUAGCUGGCGGUACUACCGCCCCUGGCCAGCGGUAGUACCGCUCCAGGAGCUUUGUUCCACCUGCCUAGCGGUAGUUCGUGGACGGACCUUUUUGCGAAGACUUUCUUGUCGGUAGUAGUGUUUUUGCACUACCAAGAGGCCAGCGGUAGUACUGCUGGUGUCAGCGGUAGUACCGCUGGAGUCCCAGCGGUAGUACCGCUGCAUCCAGCGGUAGUACCGCCAGGCGGCGGUAGUACCGCCCCUGUUCAGCGGUAGUACCACUGGAGUGCCAGCGGUAGUACCGCUAUAGCCAGCGGUAGUACCGCUGGAGCUCGGGCACAGAGUGGGAAAACGGUCUGAUUCCCCCCCCCCCACUAUAUAAAAGGUUCUUCUAGCUGAGGAACCCUAUCUCUUACCUCUCUAAGCUCCAUUGUUGCGCCCCAAGCUCAAAAGUGCCCGAUCUAUCUCCCUAGCCAAUCAAACUUGUUGAUUCUUUAGGGAUUGGUUGAGAAGGCCUAGAUCCACACUUCCACCAAAAGAAAAGUCGAUUCCCCCACCAAUCCCUUGCGGAUCUUGUUACUCUUGGGUGUUUGAGCAUCCUAGACGGUUGAGGUCACCUCGAAGCCAUAUUCCAUUGUGGUGAAGCUUCGUGGUUUAGUUGGGAGCCUCCAAGCUUUGUGUGGAGUUGCCCAAACCUUGUUUGUAAAGUUUCGGUCGCCGCCUUCAAGGGCACCUAUAGUGGAAUCACGGUACCUUGCAUCGUGCGAGGGCAUGAGGAGAAUACGGUGGCCUUAGUGGCUUUUUGGGGAGCAUUGUGCCUCCACACCGCUCCAACGGAGACGUACUUCCUGUCAAAGGGAAGGAACUUCGGUAACAGAUCCUCGUCUCCAUCGGUUCCACUUGUGGUUAUCUCUAUCCUUUACUUUGUAUUUGCUUAUGCUUGUGACUAUAUCUUACUUGCCUUAUUAGCUCUCGUUGUUAGCUUCUAUAGGGUUCACCUCAUUGUCGUAUUAUUUGUGAACCCGUAUGGUAUUUACCUUAACUUGCUAAGAUUUAUUAAAAAGUGGUCGGUGUCUAUUCACCCCCCCCUCUAGCCAACCAUAUCGAUCCUUUCAAUUGGUAUCAGAGCCACGUCUCUUUAUUAAGGGUUUAACCACCCGAAGAGUAUGGAAGGCGGAGAGGAAGUUAACCAUGGGCAACCCGAGGACAUGGACUUGACUUCGGUCACAAGGGACGACUUGAAUACGGCUAUGGCAGCGCUCAAGACGUCCUUGACGAGCGAAGUCAAAACCAUGCUUAAAGAGUUAAUUGAGGGUCUUAAAAGUUCACCCGAACCGGCUUUAGUGGUUAAACCCACCAUCUCCGAUUCGGAGGCCAACUCCUCUAAGGAAGCGGCUAAAGGUAUGCGACCUGCUUCACCUCACGAAAAGUAUGGGACUGGAACAUAUGCCUCAGUUCCACCCCCAAUGGUCUAUGGAGGACCCGUUCCCGCACCUCGUCUUAAUCCUGUUGGUCCUCCUCCUAAGCUUGUGAAAGGUGACUUUGCUAACUGGGUAUUUUCUAUUAAGUCUCAUUUGAAUCACAGCUCAACAAACUUGUGGAGAAUUAUCGAGCAAGGAUAUUAUCCCCAUGACCCAAGCAACCUCACUCCAAGAGAAGAUGCAGACAAUCAAUAUAAUCACUCUGCGUUGUUUAUUCUCCAGUCUGCUGUGCCACCUGAAGAUCUUCCCCACUUACGUCCCUUCACAUUGGCCAAGGAUUGUUGGGAGCAUAUUAUGGUGCUGUACAAGGGAAGCUCAAGUAUUCAAUGAUCCAACUAUGAAGUGAUACUUGAUAAGGCCGAUGAGUUUGUGAUGAAGGAAGACGAGGACCCUCGUGAUCUCUAUUGGAGGGUGACUGCUAUUGCUGUGGCACUAAAGGAUCAUGGGAGUAAGGAUGUGGAUGAUACAUGGAUCAAGCGCAAGUUUCUCAAAGCCAUCAUGCCUUUCAACAAAGCCAUGUCAUCUGUCAUUUGUCAGCGGCCAGACUUCCACUCCUUGUCUUCCAGUGAAGUGUUGGAUGAGUUCAUUGCAAUGUCAAUCAUGAACGAAACAGCCGACAAUGCACUUGCUCGUGUUCGAUCAAAGACAACUUCACCCAACUUUGCGUUGAAAGCAAGAGCAAUGCUUGAAGAAGAAGAAGAAGAUGAGGAAGAGGAGAGUUGCCCUGAAGACACAAAGUAUGCCUAUCAUGAGCACAUGGCUCUUGCAUCAAGGCAAUUCUGGGGCAAUAAAAGGAACCCAAGACCCACCUUCACCAAGAACAACUCGAGUGGAUUCAAACCCAAACAACGAGUAAGGACAUGUUAUAACUAUGGCAACGUGAGUCACUUCGUGGCAGAAUGUCCCUAUGAGAAAAGGGAAGACAACGGAGGCAAGCUCAUUCGCAAAGACAAAACUAAAUCAUUUCCAAUCAAGAACAACUUUGUGAAGAAACCUCACCCAAAAGGGAUGGUGGCCCUGGAAGAGUAUCCUUCCGAUGAUGAUGGUGAUGAUGAUGAUACAGUGGCAACGGCAACUGUUGCUAUUGCCACUACCUCUUCCCAGAAGGUGUCUCUCUUCAACUCCCCCAACGAGAACCACAUCACCAAGUGCCUCAUGGCAAAAGGUAUCAAUCAGGUAACUCCCAUCAUUAAGACCAACAUUGCUUCUGCUCCUUCAUUGUUAAAUUGUGUUGAAGAUAGUGAUGUUGGGGAACUUAAUGAUCAUGUUGUUGAUAAGUUUCUAUGCACUAUUAAGGGAGAACCCAAGAAGCACUUUGUUGCUCUCUUGGAACAACUGGGUGAGGCCACUGACCUCAUUGAGUCUCAUGAGGAGACCAUCUCCGAGCUUCAGGGACAUAGUCGUGACUAUGCCGAUGAAAUUGCCGAACUAUCUAGUGCCCUAGAAGAAGAGCGCACUCUUCGUUUGGCUCUUGAGGAGUCAUAUAACGACGAUUGCGCUAAAAUGCAAAAGAAACUAGAUCAUGAUGUUGUUCUUACUCGCAUGCUUAAAUCUGAAAAGUAUGCUCUUGGGGUUGGCCAUGACAAACUCAAAGAGGAGUUUGACAUACUUGACAAGGCCCACAAAGCCUUGAAAGGUGCUCAUUUCUCUCUGAAAGAGUCUCAUGAUCAACUCCAAGCAAAGCUUACCAAGGAGAUCUCUACUUGUCCUCCCUUUGUGUUAAUUGAUAAUACUUGUGCAACUAACCCCUGUUGUGAGCAUGUUCAUCUUGUGGAGGAAAAUGCCAAGUUAAAGGAGAAACUUGAGAAGGGCCUUGUGGCAUGCAUACAAGGUGAGAAGAGUCUGAACGAUCUCUUGAGCACUCAAAAGGGUGUUGUACGAAAGGAAGGACUUGGACUUACCUCCAAGUCAAAAGGUAAAAGGAAGAAGAAGAACAAACGAUCUCUCACCCUCAUGGACAUCUUUGUCAAAGAGGGUGAGGGGACUUAGAAGGUGAACAGGAACAAGGUGGACUAUGGGAACCCCAAGAAGGGCAAAACCGUUCCUACUAACACAGCCGACAAACUCAAUUCUUCUUAUGUUUUAUGUUGUGCUAGUGAUGGGCAUGUUUAUGCCAGAUUUUUUGGUUCCUACGAUGAAGAUAUUGAAUGGGCUAUCUGGGUUCCUAAGACCCUUGUCUCUAACAUGAAAGGACCCGUUAAAAAAUGGGUACCUAAAACCAAGCCUUGAUCUAUUACAGGAGUUUGCUUCCGGUGGGGUGUCAUGGUUGCUCGAUAGUGGAGCAACAAAUCAUAUGACCGGAAGCAAGGACUUAGUGGUGGAUGUGCAUCCUUCUCCAUCUAUGCCCACCCAUGUCCAAUUCGCCGAUGCAUCCUCUUCAAAGGUAUUGGGAUUUUCUAAGGUGGUCGCCUCUCAAGAUUUAUCUAUUGAGAAGGUCAUGCUUGUUGAGUCACUUGCCUACAAUUUACUUUCGGUUCGUCAACUUGCAAUUAUGGGUUUUUCCACAUUCUUUAAUAUUAACAAUGUGGUCCUCCUAAGGAGCAAGACUCUUAAAGUAGCCUAUGUUGGACAUGUCGAAAAUGGUCUUUAUGUGGUGAACUUCUCAAAGCGACCCACUAAGACUGCGACAUGUUUAAUGGCUAAAGUUGACGUGGGCUCGCUUUGGCAUCGCCGUUUAGCUCAUGUCAAUAUGAGAUCUUUGCAAAGUCUUCUGAUAGGGGACCAUGUUCGUGGACUAACAAAUGUGAGCUUUGCUAAAGAUCGUGUUUGCAGUGCUUGCAUUGAAGGAAAGAUUCAUGAAACUGCUCAUCGUCCAACGACUCUUAUCUACACUAAGAGGCCAUUGGAACUUCUCCAUAUGGAUCUGUUUGGUCCUCGAUCAUUUGAUAGUCUUGGAGGCAGAAAAUAGUGCUUAGUGAUUGUUGACGACUACUCAAGAUAUACCUGGGUAUAUUUCUUUAAAAGGAAGAGUGAAACUCAACAAAUAGUCAUCAACUUUGCUAAUGAAGCACAACGUCAACAUGAAGCAAAGAUCUUGAUGAUUAGGAGUGAUAACGGCACCGAGUUCAAGAACUACACCUUAGAUGAGUUUCUAGGUGAUGAGGGAAUAAAGCACCAAUAUUCUGCACCAUAUACCCCUCAGCAAAACGGCAUGGCAGAAAGGAAGAACCGGACCUUGAUAGACGCUGCAAGGACAAUGAUGGCAGAAUUCAAAUCUCCAUAUAACUUCUGCGCAGAGACCAUCAACACAGCAUGUCAUGCAUCCAAUCGGCUCUACAUCCGCAAAGGCUUGAACGAGACUCCGUAUGAGAUUCUAACUGGAAACAAACCCAAUCUCAAGUACUUCCGGGUAUUCGGUUGUAAGUGUUUCAUUCUCAAAAAAAGGAGCACGGUUAGCUAAAUUUGAUUCUAGAGCACAUGAGGGUAUCUUUGUUGGUUAUGCUACAAACUCUCAUGCUUAUCGUGUCCUCAACAAGUCCACCGGACUAAUUGAGGAGACGUGUAACAUAGAGUUUGAUGAAAAUAAUGGCUCCCAAGUGGAGCAAAGUGGUCUUUGUGAUAUAGGUGAUGAAAUUCCUCCCGAAGCCAUAAGAAGAAUGGGGAUUGGUCAAAUACUCCCCAUUGAGGAACCCCUUGUGGCCGAAGGAGAAGGACAAUGCUCUACUCAAGUGGAGCCAUCACCCCCACAAGCCCCACACGCUUCCGAUGAACAAAGAGAAGACUCUCAGCAAAUUGAACAAGCUCAAGGUCAAGAUCAAUUGCCCAACAAUGGUGAUGUGUUCCAUGAUAUUCAAGCACUACCCCAAGACUCCGAACCGGCUCAUGAUCAAGAUCAAGUGCAACCCCGAGAUUUAGAUCAAGUAGAAGCACAAGAUCAAGAGCAAGAGCAACCACUAAUACAAGAACAAACUAGUGAACCUGCUCAAGUCGAAGGACAAGAUGAUCAGGAGACUGUCUCACAAUUCCCGUCUGGAGCUCCAACAACCGGCUCAAGACGCAAGGGCAAGCAAAAGAAACAAGUCGAUGCUCCCCCGUUAUCUAAUGAAGAACUCUUGGAGCGUCGAGCAGCCAAGAAUGCGAACAAGCUGAGAGUCAAGUCACAUCUUAUGAAGAAUGUACUUGGCAGUUUAAAAAGGGGAGUAUCCACCCGUCAACAGCUUUGGAAUUAUUGUGAGCAUCACGCGUUUGUCUCGUAUUGUGAACCUCAACAGGUACAGGAAGCGCCCGAUGAUGAGGAUUGGCUUAUGGCCAUGCACGAAGAACUUAACAACUUCGAGCGCAAUCAAGUUUGGGAUUUAGUGCCUCGGCCAACGGAGGAACAUAAUGUCAUCAGGACCAAAUGGAUAUUCAAGAACAAGCAAGAUGCCAAUGGAAUUGUGAUUCGAAACAAGGCAAGAUUGGUGGCUCAAGGCUACUCCCAAGUCGAGGGUAUCGACUACGGUGAAACCUUUGCCCCUCUUGCUCGUCUAGAAUCUAUUCGCAUGUUGCUUGCAUUUGCUUCUCAUCAUAACUUCAAAUUACAGUAAAUGGAUGUGAAAAGUGCAUUUCUUAAUGGUCCUUUGAAUGAGUUGGUCUAUGUCAAACAACCCCCGGGAUUCGAACAUCCCAAGCUCCCCAAUCAUGUGUACAAACUUAAUAAGGCACUCUAUGGCCUUAAACAAGCCCCACGCGCGUGGUAUGAGUAUCUUACUGAGUUGUUACAAGAUCGUGGGUUUGAAAUUGGGAAGAUAGAUCCCACUCUUUUUACUAAGAGGGUUAAAGGGGAUUUGUUCAUAUGCCAACUAUAUGUUGGUGAUAUUAUCUUUGGCUCUCCUAACAUUUCAUUCAAUGAAGAAUUUGCUGCACUAAUGACUGAGAAGUUUGAGAUGUCCAUGAUGGGAGAGUUGAAGUUCUUCCUCGGGUUCGAGAUUAGACAAGGUCUAGAAGGGACAUUCAUCAAACAAGCCAAGUACACUCAAGACAUCCUCAAACGGUUCGAGCUCGAAGAUGUCAAACCGGUCAAGUUCCCCAUGCCAACAAGAUGCAAGCUUGAUAGUGAUCCCAAUGGUAAAGUAGUGGAUCAAAAGGUAUACCGCUCCAUGAUUGGAUCCCUCCUUUACCUUUGUGCAUCUAGACCGGAUAUUAUGUUGAGUGUAGGGAUAUGUGCACGGUUUCAAUCUGCACCAAAAGAAAGUCAUUACAUGGCUGUUAAGCGAAUCUUUCGAUAUUUGGCUCAUACCCCAAACUUUGGCCUCUGGUAUCCCAAAGGAGCAAACUUCAAUCUAGUUGGCUAUUCUGACUCAGAUUGGGCAGGAGAUUGUGUGGAGAGGAAGUCAACGUCUGGAGGAUGCCAAUUCCUUGGUCGCUCUUUGGUAAGUUGGUCUUCAAAGAAGCAGAAUUGCGUCUCCUUAUCAUCCACCGAAGCUGAGUAUGUGGCAGCUGCAAGUUGUUGUGCACAAUUGCUAUGGAUGAGGCAGACUUUAAAGGAUUAUGGUGUCACUUGUGACAAAGUGCCUCUUCUAUGUGACAAUCAAAGCGCUAUCAAGAUUUCCCUCAACCCAGUGCAACAUAGCAAAACCAAACAUAUUGAUAUUCGUCAUCACUUCAUUCGUGAACAUAUCAAGCUAGGUGAUAUUGAGGUUCACUUCAUCCACACUGAAGAGCAACUUGCAGAUAUUUUCACUAAGCCUCUAGAUGAAGCAAGGUUCCGGGAGUUAAGGCAUGAGCUAAAUAUCAUUGAUUCAAGUAAUGUGGAUUGAAACUAGGCAUAUUGCACCUCACUUUGCAUUCCAUCUUGGUCUACAUGUAGGCAUGGACAUAGGGGGAGUGUUGUUCUCUCAAUGAACUUUCCCUCCCCCAUUAUGCAUAAAUCAAUCUAGUCUUUCACUUUAGCCAUUGUCAAAUGGCACUUGUGCUUCAAAGACGAGCAUUGGUCAUGAACCCAAGGAUAAUUCUUCGCGGUGUCAUACCAUUGUCUCAAACAUAGGUGGCCUCGGCCACCGCCCCUCCAUCCUUUCUUGCGUAUAGAAGAAAGGAUAUACAAUGACAAGUCAGUACAUUUUCCUGGAUGCUAUCUGUUUUUACUCACUUGUCAUGUGCCCAAGGUCAUCUCUUUUCCUUAGCCGCGUUGCGACAUUUACAGUGGUACUACCGCCAGGGUAGCGGUACCACCGCCAGGACCCCAGCGGUACUACCGCUAGGGGUAGCGGUACUACCGCCAGGACCCCAGCGGUACUACCGCGAGGGGUAGCGGUACUACCGCCAGGAUUCCCAUCUAACACGACCGGCUAGGAAAUUUUUAGGGCUGCCUCAAGGGGGAGUGGUACUACCGCCAGGGGGAGCGGUACUACCACCAGGACCCCAGCGGUACUACCGCUGCAUGUGGCGGUACUACCGCCAGGUAGCGGUACUACCGCUAGGUCCUCAGCGGUACUACCGCUGGCCCGUACCCCUUGGGCUAUAUAAAGGAGGGGGAGCCCGUUUUCUCAGCCUGUUUCUUCUUCCUCGCGGCUCCUCCCUCCCCUAGCCCGAAAACUCCCUGUUUGGAUCUCGUUUUGUGGAGCUCCUUCUCCCCGUUGGUUUGGAAGGGUUGCUCCACCUCUCCUUCCUCCUCCAAGAGCCAUGAAUCCCGGUAAAGCUCCUCCCUUCUUCUAUUUGGUUGAUGUUCUUGUUCUAGGGAUAGGAGCAUUGGGGAUUGGAUCCAUAUCUUUGAUCUUAUGGCUAGUUCUUGGAUGGCAUGAAGGAGAUAUUUGAGGGGAGUAUAGGUCCUAUGGAUUGUUGUUGAUUAUGUUGCCAUGCCCUAGGAUUUACUCGUUUUAGAUCUAGCACUUGAACUAUGUUUGGAUUAGAUCUAAAACUUGCUCUCUCUUGCCUAGGCAUGUACUUAUUUCGGUGUUACUAGUGUUCCUCAUACAAAGUAGGGUUGGGGUGGAGUUCUUAGUGUUCAUAUACAGCCCAUGCCCUCGUCACGAUUUUUUAUCUGUCAGAUCUGAAAGUCAAACCCCAGCGGUACUACCGCCCGGGGUAGCGGUACUACCGCUAGGACCCCAGCGGUACUACCGCUAUGACCCCCAGCGGUACUACCGCCAGGGGUGGCGGUACUACCUCCAGGAGCAUUCACUGUGUAUUUUUUUGUGUUUUGUGCUUAGCAAUGAGUGUUUACUUUUUCUGCGUUUUCAAGAUUCAUUGCCUUGACUCUUCUUGUCGCCUCUUUUCGCUGUGUGUUUUGUGUCACAGGUAGCUCUUCUCGCCGUUCGAACCCCCCACGGGACACGCAGUCAAAACAGUAUCGCAACCAAGAGGCGCCCGAGGGGUCUGCCACCUCAGGUCUGCAACCAAAGAAGCAGUCCUUCAAGAAGGUCGCACACAAGGAUAAGAGGGUCAAUGUCCGAACAAUGUCCCCCAAGGACUUUCUGCAGUUUCGCACUCAGAACCACUAUCUCAACGAGAGGGCUGUGAUCAAGGAUGUUGACCAUGUCUGGGAAAGGGACCAGUGCAGGAUCUACCAUGAUGUUGUCGUGCAUUUCAAGAAAAACUAUGUCUCUAUUCAGUGGAUUGACCUGGCACAUCUUCAGCGGAACAUGGACUAUUUUGGUGAUGCCCUCUCUCUGGUUGACAAACUGGGCAUCAAGGACAUCAUCACUUACAAGACAGAAUUUGAUCCCACUGUUGUUGCUUAGUUCUAUGUCACGGUCCACUUCUCUCCUGAUGCACAGCGCUCCAUGGUGUGGAUGACUGGGUCAAAGAAGAUGACCGGUACCUGGCGUUAGUUCAUGCAAUUCCUCCACAUUGACUUCCAGGGUGCUGACACUCCUCUUGGGAUGCGUCCUCAUGCUGCAGCCCCCGCCAAUAGGCCCCCCGCAAAGGACAGACUGCAGAAACUCUAUCUGAGGAAGGGGGUGCUUCCCAAGCACCUGGACAUCAUGCAUCGGAUCCUUCGCAACACCCUCUUCCCACGCAUUGGUAACUUCGACGAGGUUCAUGGCUCCUUGGCUGCGAUGCUGCUGCUUUGUGAGGAGGCUAUGUCUCAGGAGUCUGCUCAGCUGGAUAUUUCUGAUGUGAUGUUCACGGAGCUCUGGAACUGCAUCAUCAUGCGUAAGGUUCCCAUCUACGGGCCUUAUCUAUUCGCAUACAUUCGCCAUAAGUGGCAAGAGGCUUUUCCGGAGGAGCUGCUCUACGCUCAGUCUGACUACAUUGUGCACGACCCAAUCAGGCUUCGCGUCAAGGACAAAUGGGCCAACCCAUCUACUUCCUCUCAGCACAUGGAUACUGAUACAGAGACUGCUGCUGACAGAGGAACCACCUCUCAGUCCCACUCUUCUGCCAUGCCAUCUUGGGUCAUCAAACUUCAGGACAAUAUGAAGACUCUUUUCUGUAUGCAGGCUCAGGGUCAAUACCAGACGCACGUGGCUCAGAAGGAGAGCCGACAGAGGCAUAAGCGUGUUCUGAGGACUCUUGAUGUGGACAUAUCCAGCGGAUCAGAGGACGACAUCACUCCAGAGGCCACUUGGAUGCAGGCUCAAGGAUACCAGUGGUCUGGCGAUGAGGCGGAAGAGGGAGCAGGCCGAUCAGGAGGGGACCGAUGAGUCUGGCGAUGCUGAGGAUGAGGAGUAGCUACCUGUGGCAUUAGGUGUGCCCCUUUUUGGUGUCUUGUGCCAAAGGGGGAGAGAGUCUAGGAGCUGAAUUUGCUUUCAUAUUCGAACUUUGCGUUGCUUUGCUUUAUUUCGUGUGGUUUGCUUCGAACUUGGUUUGCUUCUAGUUUGCUAUCAUUUGUGAGACAUGAACUUAUGUGAGAUUUAUUUCCAUGAUAUGCUGUGAGUCAUAUGCCCCGUAUUGUCAUAUAUCUCUAUCUUUUUGUUCUCAUAUUAUUCUCUGUGCAAAUCCGGUAUUGUCAUCAAUCCACCAAAAAGGGGGAGAUUGUUGGGGCAUAGUUUAUGCCUAAGUAAUUUUGGCGAUUGAUGACAGUACCGUACAGGACUAACCGUGUGUUUUAAGGUUUCAGAUAACACACGUCAACGGCACAGACGACACGUCUCCUCAUUCAUGGAACGGAAGCACGGUGCUCUCUUCGAUUCUCUUUAUUUGAGUCAUAGGAAAGCCGUACUAUUAAGAGGGGAUCCGUAGUGGAAAGGUUUGGGUGGAAUCUAUCUUUGCACGCGCACACUUCACAUUCUCCCUUCCCUUCAUCUUGGGAGCGGCCCCCGCCACUUUGUUUCUCGCAUCUUUGCAAAAUGGUCCCCAGCGGUAGUACCGCUGGUUCUAGCGGUAGUACCGCUGGACUGCUAGCGGUAGUACCGCUGCAGCCAGCGGUAGUACCGCUAGCUGGCGGUAGUACCGCCCCUGGCGAGCAGUAGUACCGCUCCAGGAGCCUUGUUCCACCUGCCUAGCGGUAGUUCGUGGACGGACCUUUUUGCGAAGACUUUCUUGGCGGUAGUAGUGUUUUUGCACUACCAAGGGGGCCAGCGGUAGUACCGCUGGUGUCAGCGGUAGUACCGCUGGAGUCCCAGCGGUAGUACCGCUGCAUCCAGCGGUAGUACCGCCCCUGUUCAGCGGUAGUACCGCUGGAGUGCCAGCGGUAGUACCGCUAGAGCUCGGGCAGAGAGUGGGAAAACGGUCUGAUUUUCCGCCCCACUAUAUAAAGGGUUCUUCUAGCUGAGGAACCCUAUCUCUUACCUCUCUAAGCUCCAUUGUUGCGCCCCAAGCUCAAAAGUGCCCGAUCUCUCUCCCUAGCCAAUCAAACUUGUUGAUUCUUUAGGGAUUGGUUGAGAAGGCCUAGAUCCACACUUCCACCAAGAGAAAAGUUGAUUCCCCCGCCAAUCCCUUGCGGAUCUUGUUACUCUUGGGUGUUUGAGCAUCCUAGACGGUUGAGGUCACCUCGAAGCCAUAUUCCAUUCUGGUGAAGCUUCGUGGUUUAGUUGGGAGCCUCCAAGCUUUGUGUGGAGUUUCCCCAACCUUGUUUGUAAAGGUUCGGUCGCCGCCUUCAAGGGCACCUAUAGUGGAAUCACGGUACCUUGCAUCGUGCGAGGGCGUGAGGAGAAUACGGUGGCCUUAGUGGCUUUUUGGGGAGCAUUGUGCCUCCACACCGCUCCAACGGACACGUACUUUCUGUCAAAGGGAAGGAACUUCGGUAACACAUCCUCGUCUCCAUCGGUUCCACUUGUGGUUAUCUCUAUCCUUUACUUUGUAUUUGCUUAUGCUUGUGACUAUAUCUUACUUGCCUUAAUAGCUCUCGUUGUUAGCUUCUAUAGGGUUCACCUCAUUGUCGUAUUAUUUGUGAACCCGUAUGGUGUUUACCUUAACUUGCUAAGAUUAAUUAAAAAGUGGUCGUUGUCUAUUCACCCCCCCCCUCUAGCCAACCAUAUCGAUCCUUUCAUGGAGUAUCCCGCCGACGAUGACUGCUACCCCUACGGUGUUGACUGCUACAUGGAGGCCGUUGAAGACGAGGAGUAGUUAGGAGGCUCCGAGGCAGGAGGCCUUUCCUCGUUCGAUCGUUGUAUCUUUUGUGCUAGCCUUAUCUAAGGCACCCCAUGUUUAAUGUAUGUACUCAGAUAUUUGUUGCUUCCGCUGACUCGUGUAUUUAUCGAGCUUCUGUAUUCUAGCCCUCGAGGCCCCUGGCUUGUAAUAGCAAGCUUGUAUGUUUUAUUUUGUGUCUAGAGUUGUGUUGUGAUAUCUUCCUAUGAGUCCCUGAGCUUUGUCAUACACAUUUGCGUGUAUGAUUAGCGUACGAUCGAAUCGAGGGUGUCACAAGUUGGUAUCAUAACCAACUGCAUGUAGGUCGCCCCCUUUCCAACUGCUUGGCCGAAGUUGAGUCUAGUGUUUGAAAAACUUACUAACUUUGAUGACGUGGCUUACGGUCCCACAUCUCAAUUGGGUGGUAUUAGUAUCUUUUACUCCUUUCCUAUACUUUGGAUUCUACUCCCUCUUCUCUUUCAGUUUAAAGAAUUUACUAACUCUAACUAUGGGUUCUCGUAAAUACUUCCUCCCGAAGAACCCCGCAAUUCGAGACGAUGGCUUGAUUCCUCACAAGACUCCGAACAUACUCUUCGAUGUUCUCUCAGAAGCUGGUGCUCAUCGCUUAUGUGAUUUCCCUUCCUCCGUCAACCCCUAUGGAUGACGACAUACAAUGUCGUUAUACUUUCUUUUCCAAUUGCUCGUGUUUUCUGAGAUGCAACGAAUUAUCUUAUCGGGGAUUCGUCUAUCAUCACUUGUCAUGGGUUUCAAAAGUUCUUUGAAUUGCUAUUCGAUCUUUCAGAAUCCCCAGUAGCCUAUUGCUCUUGACCUUUCUGACCUGCUUGCAUUAUAGUUAAAUCCGUAUGUCUAGCCGCAUUCAUUAAAAUCCUUUGUGAUUUUCCUGUGAUCUUAUUGAUUCUACCUUUGUGUGAAAGCACACAACCAUGUGUUGAUACUUAUAAAUUAUCUUUCCGGCUCACACGUCCUUCCAGACAGAGCUGGUUCUCGACAAAUCGACUUUGGUUGGUUGUCCACCUAAUUCCAUUCAACUUACUCGUAUUUGAUCGGAGCAUUUGAUUAUGAUACACCAACUUGGAAAUCCCAAUUCCUUUCGUAAUUAAGUAUCAAUUUUUUCAGACGUUCUAUAAUCCGAUGCCUUACAUUCUAUCUCCCUUUGACUGAGUACCGAUACUCACAUCAGGUCCCUUGUGGACUGCCAGACCCAUUGUUGGAUUGUUAUCCGACGACAUCCUUUACAUUCAAAAAAAAUCUUGCGAUAUUGUUCCCCUGAUACAUAAUGCCAUUGGUAAAUUGUGUCUUUUCCUUGUGAUGAGUUGUAUCAUAUGCCUUUGUGAGCCAUGCUCUUCAAGCAUGUGUUAAUUAUUCUUGAAGUUGUGGUAUAUGUUCCUAAGAUGCCCCAAUGGGUUGAACCUAUGCCUUCCUAAAUCAAUAUGACCCGAAGAGUUUUCACGAGUCUUGCUCAUCUGGUGUUUUGCCAGAUAAUCUUUCCAAGCUACAACCUUAUCAAAGAUGAGGAGUAAAUGGCAGGUGAUGCAUUGAUGAAGUGGGAAUCGACCUUGAACUCGUGUUCAUGCCCAUGGAGACAACGUUCAUCCUAUCAUAGAAGCUUCUCGUACCAAUAAUCAUUCAUUAUAUGAUUUGGUAUGGUAUCUGUGGUUUGGUAUUUUGCAACCAUGGUUUCGGCCAUGAUUGUUCUCCUUUAAUCUCAUAUGUAGACAAGUUUAAGUGCUUGUCUUCCACACAUCAAUACAUUAGUCUAACCUCUACUCUGAUGUACCUCUGAGUACUGUCCCUGGUAUCGCAAAAAUAUCAUGGAGCUAUAUAACUCCUUAUGAGCUCAUCAUCAACUAUGACAUUACACUGAUCCCAGUCUUCCUCGUGUUUUGAGUCGAUGGAAACGCAAGUACAUUGAUAACUGAAUUGAGUAUGCAUUGCGAUUCGACAACUCUUAGUAAUCUUCCUUGUUUACAAGUUUUUACUUGAUCUUGUCACUCCAAGCUAUUAAGCUACAUCAUCAUCAUCAUGAUAAAGCUUGACCAUGCUAUCUAUGUCUUUCAUCCGUGGAACACAUCUCCAAUUGUGCGUUAAGCUUACAUCGAGUUUUCAACAUCAUGUUGGUUGUCCGGAAAGGCAAUUUCAAUUCGGAGCUAGCAGUCUUAUCUAUGGUUCCGACAAACUUUCGCUUCCCCAUUCCUUUGCUCGAUGUCGUCGUUGAACGAUUACAUCUUCAUGAAACUUCUCGAAAAAUGUGUCGUGAUCAUCAUCAGCAUUCUGAGCUCUUCCAGGGUAUCAAUCGAAUGCAUGUUGAGAAAUACCAUCCCUGCCCCUCGAUGAAUUGUGAAAUCAUCGUCAACCUUAUUACCUUCCCUCCAACACAAACAUGUUGAUGUUUUGUGUUGUCCUUUGAGUUCCUUGCUAGUUCAGCUUAUGUUAUGUUCUACCUUGGAGUAUUACCAUUUGUUAUGUCAAGAAUAUUGUGAGCAUUGUUGCACCUCUUAAGUAAUUCUUGAUAUAAGUGAUACCUCUCGUCAUCACGAUCCAUUUCUGUCCCGUGUUGUUUCAAACCGGAUUACCGACAAGUGAACUCGGGUGUGUGAUUCCAAUACUUCUGACAACCCGAUCGUUUUGAAGAUUAAUGAUUCAUAGUUUCAUUCUUGAUGUGUCGGAUAUCGACUCAUCGUUAUAGCAAUGGUCGUGCUACACAUUCAGUAUUUUCGAGUGCACCCUUUGACCAAUGUUUAAUUGUUGUUGUCCCCUCGAGCAUACGACAUUAUACCAUUUGACUUGACAAAUGCUAUCUCCUUGAUCUUGUAAUUUUUGGAAAUUCAUCCCCAUCGAAAUCUUGUGGGAUUGUUGUUGAGCCCAUCGACCACACCCCAACUUCUUCAUGUCCCACGAUGAAGCUCUUGAAAGCAUUAUCCUUGUGCCUGGCUCAUGAAGAAUGUGUUAGAUAGCAGAAAUGUUUUCCCCAAGGUUCACGUGCAUUCUUGCCACCAUGAAUAUGUGAAAGUUUUGUUUUUCUCCCUCUAGGAUCAUCCCAAGUCAUUCACGCAUGUGUAGAGUGUUAUAUGUUUUGAAGAUUUGCUAUCUUCACUUCAUGUAAUUUCUCUUAGCACUCCAAGCCACUGACUGAUUUGAUCAAGGAAAAGAAGUUCCUUCAUAAGAGCUAAUCGAGGCUUACACAAGGACCUCGAUAUCCUCAACGUGGGUCCUCAAAUCAGAACUGAGUUGCAUUUUGACGUAAGAAUUAUAUGUGGGCACGAAUGUCUUGACAUUGUGUUCAUAUGUCUUACAAUCCAACUCAUGAUCCAAUACUUUCUUCCCUAGUUCAUAUCUCGAGAAUCUUGCAUCAUCAUCUCGUCUGUUUUUGGUGGUCCCCUUUUCUUCUCACGCAUCCUGAGCCUGAGGUAUCCUGACACCAAUCAUAUCUGAAUCUUGGGCAAAUAUGACAGUUGGAACAUUUCCCAAUAAUUAUAACUUUGGUCUUUAUACCUGAUACGGUGAUGUCUUGUCUAGCACACUAGGCCGAAGGACCUAUUGUUAUAAUUUUUUCUAUAGGUUAGGUUAGCCAUUUUACCACGAGAAAAUGGUAUGACUUAUUUUAUAAGUUAAUUUUGAUGAAUCCUUUGUGUACCCAAAGUCCGACCUUUAUCUGAUGACCAUGUCAAUGCUACCUCGAAGCACGGAGGUGAUACUUCAAAUGUCAACAUGAACAUUGAAAGCACAAUGCUAAAUUGUUCCUCAUCUAUUAUCCAAACAGUGUUGCAUGGGUAAUCAUCAUGAUUCCCCUCCCCUUUUAUCCAAAUAAUUAUCUACUUACUAUCCCUUCAGGGCAUACCAUGCUCUGUACGCCUUGGGAAAGGAAUACUCUAAUACUUGUGUGUGAACACAUUUUUCCUUUCUGUUGGUCUAUUUAACCUUUAUUGUGAUCUACCUUGUCUGAGUAGUGGUAGUUCCCUGCUUAGGUAGAAACCUCGGUAUACAAAUCUGUCAAUAAAACACUGUUACUAUUGUGGAUAACAUUCUGGUAGCUGUCGGUGGACGAGAGCCUUGCCUGUUGGUCCGCCUCGUUUCAAAGAGCAGGAAAAUGGUUCUAUUCGUCCCCCGCCUUUGAUACCGAUGUUGUUGCCAAUAUAACUGAUAGGCUAUCCUCUGACAUGUCUUGCUACCAAGACCGUAUAAUAUGUCACCCCUCUGCCUACUCUCGGCCCACAUGGUGGACCCAUAACCCAAAGUUCCACAUGAUUGAAACCUGACUCUCCUGUGCAUCCUUGACUCCAAAGUAUCCUUUGCACUUGGCUUUGUAUGAAAUUCCCGAGCAACCUCUCAAUGGAACGAUAACUCUUCAGUCCAGAUAUUAUACAACAUGCCGAAGAUCAAGUCCGCAUUAUUCAUGAGAAUCUGAAGGCUGCUCAGUCUCGUCAGAAGAGUCAGUAUGACCAUCAUUAUAAAGGUAUGGUCUAUCAACCUGGCGAAAAGGCUUAUCUUUGCAUCACACCAAUGAGAGGUGCACACCGUUUUUGGAUCAAGGGCAAGUUAGCUCCUCGCUAUAUUGGUCCUUUCACCGUUCUCGAAAGACAUGGAAAAGUAGCUUAUCAAUUUGGACUGUCGGCGAACCUUUCUCAGGUUCAAGAUGUCUUCCAUGUGUCUCAGCUCCGCCCUGCUUCAAGGAUCCUAUUCAAGCAGUGGAUCAUGAUAUGCUUGAGUUGCAACAAGACCUCUCUUAUAAAGAGCAUCCAGUCCGCAUUCUUGAUCAAGCUGAACGUUAGACUCGUCGCAAAGUCACCAAGUUCCUUAAAGUGAAGUGGUCAAAUCAUUCUGAAGAUGAAGCCACUUGGGAACGCGAGGAUCAUCUUCGUGAUGAAUACCACGAGCUCUUUCCUACUACCUCUUAAUUCUCAGAACGAGAAUUCUUGUUAGUAUGAGAGAGUUGUGACAUCCCCAGAUUUGUGCUACAGUAACCCUGUAAUCAAGCUACAGUAAUGCUAUACUAAUGAUGCCACGUCAUCAUGAUUUCUAUUGUCAAUCUCGCGAUAGUUCAAACCCGUUCAAAUUUAAAUUUUAAAAUAAAGUCAAGCGAUAAAAGUUUUCAAUUAUAAAAAUAAAAAUGUUUGAUGUUUAUCAAAUAUUACAUAGGAAAUUGUCAUUUAGGAAUCGUUAUCUUUUUUUGAUUGUACUAGAAUAAAAUAAAACUAAAACUGAAAAUAAUUAAAAAGAAAAGGAAAGAAAAGAAAGGGCCCCGGCCCAACUAGGCCAACUGGCCCAGCCGGCCGGCCCACCCCGCCCCCAACCCUAAUGCCCCUCGCCACUUCCUCCCACCAGCGCCGCCAGCUCCCCUCGUUCAACAACUCCAGCGCCAGAUCCCAAAUAGCAAUCACACCUCCCUGCUCCCCCACGAGCCAACCCCACGAACGGAUCCCCCCUCCAUCCCCUCGUUCAUCACACCCCACGAGCCACUGGCUCGUUCUCUCGUUGCCACCUCUCCCCAUCGAACCUUCCCAGCGCCACACCGGCCCCGCCACCCCGGACCACCUCUCUCCCUCGCCAAGCCCCCCUCUCUCGUUUCCCUAGCACCAGCCUCGCCCCCACGUCGCCCUGCACCACCUCGCGACCGGAGCCACCACGCCAAGGCCCCCUCCUCCACCCAGCGCAUCGGCACCACCCCUGGUGCCUCCCUCCGGCCACCACGACGUCGACCUCGCCGGCUCCAACACCGACCGCCGGUCCCUCCCCACCUCGUCCCCGCGCCAGCCCCACUCUGUCGCCCCUGGCCACCCCCACCACCUCCGGCUUCCGUCCUCCCCGAGCUCGCCACUGGCAUCCUCAUGGUGAGCCACGCACGUCCACGCUGUUCGCCAUCGAUCUGUCGCCGAUUAGCAGCUGUCCGCAUUCGCUCGUGGCAGCGCUCGGGGCUCGCUCCGUGCGUGCGCACUGCAGCCGCCCGCGCCCGCCCUCCGGUGUUGCUACUGCUGCUGUCUGUUGCUCCCUUGUUGCUUGUUGCUGCUCGCUGCUGCUGCUCCGCCUUGCUCUUGCCGACCACACCCACCGUCGCGUCGCGUCAUUGUUGCUUGUGUCGUUGAUCAUUGCGUUCCGUGCAUACCCAAGGCACAAGGCACGACUUGUGCCUCUAGCUAGUAGACCGGGAUGCUCUAAUUAGGUUGUUAGGUUUGUUGAUUGUAUACUUAAUCUUAUGCAGUAAUGACAUGUGGGGUCCUAUGGGACCCGUUGACCAGUCAACGGUUGAGUCAGCAGUUUACUAGGCCCACCAGUCAGCCUCGGUGGCUAGAUCUAGUCCGGUGUAAAAAGUUGUGUCUCUGUUCGAAAUUCGAAUUAAUAAAUAAAGAAAAAAAAGGAAAUAAAUGUUAGAAAUAUAUAUAUAUAUAUGUUUAAANAUUAAGUAAAUUAUUAGAUAAUAUGUUAAGUCAAAUAAAUUAAACAUUAUGACACGUGGGUCUCGUCCCCUUAUUUAGUCGAAUUAACAUUUAGUUAACCCUAAUAAUAAUUGUGCCUAUGAUAACGGGUCCAUUGGUCAUAUUUGACCAGUCAAACCCUGUUGACUUUUGAUGUCAUGCUGACAUCACCACCGAUGUCACAUUUAAUUAUCUAAUAUAUAUUAAUCUGCUAAUUACUAAAUAAUUAAUAAAACUUAAAAAUAUAUAUAAAAUAACUCGUAGCUUCAAUGAAAAUAUUUUCAACAUGAAAGUUGAUCAGCAGAACGAGACGAAACCGGAUACACUAUCCGCUCGUGUGUCACGCGUCCCUAGCAUAGCAAACGUGAAAACUUUUCCACCGUUUCCGUUUGACCGGUAGUAGCGAGAGACCCGGGAAAUAUCGUGAGAUAUUUUCCCGCUUCGUCUGUAACGUUUAGUACUGCGUUAGGACACCCCUAGCAUGGUGUAUUACCUUGUCAUGCUUUGGUGUGUUUGCUUGCUCUCUUAUUUAUUGUGUUUCCCUUUCAUUAUUUCCUUUCCGGUAAACCCCGAGACCGAUGAUGAUCCGGUGAUCGACUACUUCCCGGUCGAGGAUCCGUUUUGUCUGCACAGCAACCAGGCAAGCAAACCCCCUUGAUCAUUCAUAUAUCGCCCAUUUCUUUCUUCCUCAUGCUUGCAUUAGAAUUUUGCUAUUGUUGUAGUUAGCUCCUAUAUCUGAUGCAUAGCCUAAUUUUGACGAACUGCUACUUCGAGUACUGCACCUUUAAACUGCUUAGUAUAGGUGGAGCAAUCAUCCCCUUUGACCCCUUAGUCCAGUUGCCCCGCUUUAUUAUCAAGUCUUAAUCCCUGAUCGACGAGCCAAGAUCCGACACAUCACUCACACCCCCCUUAGUUGAACGACACUACAGAGCUACUAUCGGGUACCUAGGGUGACACCUCGCGAAGUAUUCAUGAUGAUAUCUUUGUAGGGCAGUUACUCGGUCAUGGUUAUCGAGGGUGAUUCCUCCUUCAGCACUCCCGGCGACGACUCUGUCGUGCAACCCGUCAAGUGUGUGACCCUCGAGGGUGAUUCCUCUAAGUCCACCUUGACGGUUACAUCGUUCGGGAUCCAACGAGGCUGAUACCUCGAAUCCCGCUGAUGUUACAACAACACAGUUACCCGACCAUGUUACUGGAUCUUUGACGAAUAAUGUUAGGCGGGUGGAUUCCCACGUGGAUGUGUCGAUGAGUUAAUUAAAAUGUUAAUGGAUUUGGAUAUUUGAUCUGGAUUGGUGGGAGACCUUUUCGCACUAACCGGCUACGCGGGAGAAGUUAUGGGUACUCGACGUCGUGGUAUCAGUCCAAGCUUUUUAGACGUCAGCAAUCGAGCGGCGCGCGCCCGAGUGGUCCCGAGAUGCAUCGCGCUUGUAUUAAGGGGUCCUAGGACUGACAUCGGCCGCCCAUGCAUCAUGCAGGAGCGCAGAGGGCAAGUGGGCCCAGGAACCCUUUAUGCUUAGGAUUUAGACCGGCGGACUGGCCUCUCUGUUGAGUCUAGGUGGGGCUGCGACGUGUCGAUAUUCCGAGGCCGGGCAUGAUCCAGAAAAGUGUGUCCGGCCAGAGUGUUAUCGAGCGUGACGGGAAACUUGUUGCACCCCUACAGGGAUGAAAAUUAAAUAUUCGGAUAGCCGUGUCGACGGUUACAUGACGACUUGGAGUUGUGCACUGAUGUUAUACAACUACAACUGUUACUUAACUGGAAUAGUUGCUCCGGGAUUACUUCCUCGCAGGGAGUCGAGGGAGAAUCUCGGGGCAUGACCUCAUAUUAAUAUUCCUGCAACAAUAUGACUUUUAGUUGUGUUACCUGUUCUACUCUUGUCUACUGGUGCAAGACCCUUGAAGAUGCUAGUCUUUGAUAGCACUAGGCCUUCUCUCUCUUUCUCGCAUUGUUGUAGUCAGUCCACAUAUAAACCCCUUCCUUUGAUAUUGUUGCAUACUUAGCAUAGUUUUGAUGUCAGUCUUGCGAGUACUUUGGAUGAGUACUCACCGUUGUUUUGCUCCCCUUUUUUCCCCGUGAUCCGUUGUUGCGACCAGAUGAUGGAGCCCAGGAGAUGGAGUAUCCCGCCGACGACGACUGCUACCCCGACGGUGUUGACUGCUACGUGGAGGCCGCUGAAGACCAGGAUUAGUUAGGAGGCUCCCAGGCAGGAGGCCUCGCUUCGUUCGAUCAUUGUAUCUUUUGUGCUAGCCUUCUCUAAGGCAUCCCAUGUUUAAUGUAUGUACUCAGAUAUUUGUUGCUUCCGCUGACUCGUGUAUUUAUCGAGCUUCUGUAUUCUAGCCCUCGAGGCCCCUGGUUUGUAAUUGGAAGCUUAUAUGUUUUAUUUUGUGUCUAGAGUUGUGUUGUGAUAUCUUUCGUAAGUCCUUGAGCUUGGUCAUACGCAUUUGCGUGUAUGAUUAGUGUACGAUCAAAUCGAGGGCGUCACACUCAACCAGGUAGUAAUAAAGAAUCUGAAAAUGAUGUGGAAAUAGAAACUAUUGAAGAUCUUGAUAACCCACAUCCUAGAAAUAAACG